GACGAACGCUGGCGGCGUGCUUAACACAUGCAAGUCGAACGGAAAGGCCCUGCUUUUGUGGGGUGCUCGAGUGGCGAACGGGUGAGUAACACGUGAGUAACCUGCCCUUGACUUUGGGAUAACUUCAGGAAACUGGGGCUAAUACCGGAUAGGAGCUCCUGCUGCAUGGUGGGGGUUGGAAAGUUUCGGCGGUUGGGGAUGGACUCGCGGCUUAUCAGCUUGUUGGUGGGGUAGUGGCUUACCAAGGCUUUGACGGGUAGCCGGCCUGGGAGGGUGACCGGCCACCAUGGGACUGCGAGACGGCCCAGACUCCUACGGGAGGCAGCAGUCGGGAAUAUUGCGCAAUGGGCCGACGCCUGUUGUAGCAACGCUGCGUUCGGGAUGACGUCUUUCGGGUUGUAAACCGCUUUCGCCUGUGCCGAAGCGUUAGUGACGGUAACGGGUAAGAAAGCACCGGCUAACUACGUG
rnacentral:rRNA from 1 species